rnacentral:lncRNA from 13 species
UUUUAUUAUUUUUUUGUUUACUCAUGCAGUAGAAAUAGCUUGCUUAUUUCGAGUAGAGUUAAUUAUAACCUCUUUUUCCUGGAAAAGUUUUAUAUAAUCUAUCUGAUCUUACCCUUAAGAAAGCACCACUGACUUUUUUGUGCAGUAAUUAAUUUUGCCAGACCUCCCUUCAACUUCAGUUUAAUAAACAUACAACUUUACACAUGGCAUAUUAUAUUUCCUAGGUGUGUCCAUCAAUGGAAAGGCUAAGCUCUAGUUUAUGUAUAAAAUUAAACCCUAUAUUACAAAUCCAGAUGCUGUAAAUCUGAGAGAAAAUGAAUUGACUAUUACCCAGGAGCAAAUAGUUAUUUAGCACCAGUAGCAGAAAUUAACAAAAGCAUUUUUUUAGAAGGACAUGUGAUAUUUUCACAACAUUUUCAGUUACCAAUGAUGACCUGGCUAAUAAUUUUUUUUUUACAAAUGUUUUAGUAAAGAUAUGAGAGUUUUUGUGUAUAUGUGUGUGUUGGGUAACAUGAGGGCACAGCAAAACAUAUUAUUGAACAUUCCUGGGUCCUGUUUCUACAUUCAGAGUUCAUUCACUGGGCUCUAAACACCUGAAUGAUGGCAUUUCUUUGGCUUGGGAUAUUCCAGGAAACUUUGUACAUCUUAAGUGCAAAGCAUGAAUAUGUUUAUUUUAACAGACUCUCACAUCUUUUGUAUAACAACUUAGCAGAUGAACUUACAGACAAGGACAAAGUUAUAGAAGGUUUUGGGGUACAUGUGAAGAACAUGCAAGACAGUUGCAUAGUUUCCUUUUACUUUACAUGGUAUGAGACAGGUCAGACAUGCAUCACAAGCUGGAAGAUCUACUUUGUCUUGCUGCCCUUGAAACUGACAUUCAAGUGCCUGAAAACGCUCAUGUACUCCAUAUUUUCCCUUGAACAAUCCUUCAAAGAAACCUUUAACCUACUACAACAGGAAUAGUCCUUCUUAUCCAUGAGAGGAUGAUUAGUUCUCAAGGAAAGGAGUUAAGAGACAUAGCCUUUAAAAAAUUAUCUUCGGUAAAUAACAAGUAGGUAAGCUUCCUUCUUUAUUCUUCAAUAGCAAUAUAGAAAAGUUUUGGUUAUUUACCUGCGGUAAUUGUUUUCCAAAGUUUAGCUGAUGUUUCUAUAGGCAUAAGAAAUGGAAAAAGGUUUUUAAAAGUCUCUUCUCUGGCUGGGGGCAGUGGCUCGUGUAUGUAAUCCCAGCACUUUGGGAGGCCAAGGUGGGAGGAUCAUGACGUCAGGAAAUUGAGACCAUCCUGGUUAACAUAGUUAAACUUUGUUUCACUAUGUUAAAAUACUAAAUGUGAAAAAUACAAAAAUUAGCUGGAUGUGGUGGCCCAUACCUGUGGUCUCAGAUACUCAGGAGGCUGAGGCAGGAGAAUUGCUUGAACCUGGGAGGCAGAGGUUGCAGUGAGCUGAGAUUGCACCACUGAAUUCUGGCCUAGGCAACAGAGUGAGAAUCCAUCUCAAAAAAAAAAAAAAAAAAGUCUCUUUUCUCACCCCGGUCAAAUCUGAAAAUGUGAUGAAGACAUCCCAGAUUCUUGGAAAUGUGAUAAAGAACAGUGGCAAUUUCCCCUUUCUCUCUUCUUAAUUG